rnacentral:lncRNA from 1 species
UGUUCUUGUUUUUGUCGUCUCACCGUGUUCUUGUUUUUGUCAUCGCACGGUGUUCUUGUUUUUGUCGUCGCAUGGUGUUCUUGUUUUUGUCGUCACACGGUGUUCUUGUUUUUGUCGUCACACGGUGUUCUUGUUUUUGUCGUCGCAUCGUGUUCUUGUUUUUGUCGGGGGGGGGGGGGGGGGGGGGGGGGGGGGGGGGGGGGGGGGGGGGGGGGGGGUGGUCACACGGUGUUCUUGUUUUUGUCGUCGCAUGGUAUUCUUGUUUUUGUCGUCACAUCGUGUUCUUGUUUUUGACGUCGCAUCGUGUUCUUGUUUUUGUCGUCUCAGCAUGUUCUUGUUUUUUGUCGUCGCACGGUGUUCUUGUUUUUGUUGUCGCAUGGUGUUCUUGUUUUUGUCGUCGCAUCAUGUUCUUGCUUUUGUCGUCACAUCGUGUUGUUGUUUUUGUCAUCGCAUCGUGUUCUCGUUUUUGUCGUCUCAUCAUGUUCUUGUUUUUGUCAUUGCACUGUGUUCUUGUUUUUGUCGUCGAACAGUGUUCUUGUUUUGGCGGCGAUUCGUGUUCUUGUUUUUGUCAUCGCAUCCUGUUCUUGUUUUUCUGUCAUCGCAUCAUGUUCUUGUUUGUGUCGUCGCACAGUGUUCUUGUUUUUGUCGUCGCAUCAUGUUCUUCUUUUUGUCAUCGCAUCAUGUUCUUGUUUGUGUCGUCGCACGGUGUUCUUGUUUUGGCGGUGAUUCGUGUUCUUGUUUUUGUCGUCGCAUCAUGUUCUUCUUUUUGUCAUCGCAUCAUGUUCUUGUUUGUGUCGUCGCACAGUGUUCUUGUUUUUGUCGUCGCAUCGUGUUCUUGUUUUUGUCGUGGCAACGUGUUCUUGUUUUUGUCGUCGCACGGUGUUCUUGUUUUUGUCAUCGCAAGGUGUUCUUGUUUUUGUCGUCGCAUGGUGUUCUUGUUUUUGUCAUCGCAACGUGUUCUUGUUUUUGUCGUCGCAUCGUGUUCUUGUUUUUGGCGUGGCAACGUGUUCUUGUUUUUGUCGUGGCAACGUGUUCUUGUUUUUGUCAUCGCAACAUGUUCUUGUUUUUGUCGUCGCAUCUUGUUCUUGUUUUUGUUGUGGCAACGUGUUCUUGUUUUUGUUAUUGCAAGGUGUUCUUGUUUUUGUCAUCGCAACGUGUUCUUGUUUUUGUCAUCGCACGGUGUUCUUGUUUUUGUCAUCGCAACGUGUUCUUGUUUUUGUCGUCGCAUCUUGUUCUUGUUUUUGUUGUGGCAACGUGUUCUUGUUUUUGUUAUUGCAAGGUGUUCUUGUUUUUGUCAUCGCAAGGUGUUCUUGUUUUUGUCGUCGCACGGUGUUCUUGUUUUUGUCGUCGCACGGUGUUCUUGUUGUUGCCGUCGCACGGUGUUCUUGUUGUUGCCGUCGCACUGUGUUCUUGUUGUUGCCGUUGCACGGUGUUCUUGUUGUUGCCGUUGCACGGUGUUCUUGUUGCCAUCGCACGGUGUUGUUGUUGUUGUCGUCGUACGGUAUUCUUGUUGUCGUCAUCCGGUGUUCUUGUUGUUGCCGUCGCUCCAUGCUCUUGCCUCCUUCCACUCACCGCCAUUGUGUGUGUGUGUGUGUGUGUGUGUGUGUAUGUGUGUACGUGUUUGUGUGUGUCGGUUGUUAUCUACACUGGCAGAGUUCCUGCCCUCUGCGCGAUCUUGUUCCAACCAUGCAACACGUUUUUUUAAUGCAUACCUUUACUUCGGUGGUGUAUUGUCAACUGACAGCUCUGUCGAGGCAAAAAAAUAAUCCAGAUUAUUUGCAAGAAGCAAAAACAUACUCACUGCUUCUAAUUCAAAACACCUCACUGCACUGGAAAAUGUGGGGACAGGAAUUGUGUAAAUGCUGGAGACUUGUAAUAUCCCCACCCCUACCUGGAGGUGAUGCUACAUUUUGCGUUUUCUUCUUUUGAUCUUGUGAUGUUGAUGUGGGGCAGGCAUGAUGGGCUGAAUGGACUCCACCAGUGUCUAAUUUCCUUGUGUGUAUCGUUGCGUUACUUUUAACAUUGUUCUUAACAAACGGGGACAGGAACAACAGAGGCAUGAUUCUCAUGCGCAAUGUUCCCUGUGUAUCUUUGUGUAGCAUUGUGAAGAACAGGAAAAAAUGGGGAGGGGAGGACAGCAAGUUGGGGGUAGGGAUGCGUUGAGUUGGAAGAGUGAGAUUGAGAUGUUGGAAAGUGGGGGGGGGAUUGAGGACUUUCGGUUGAGAGGGGGGUUGAGUACUUGGGGUUUGUGGCAGUUGGGGGCGGAGGGCAGAGAAGGGAGAAGGUUGGGAUUGAGUGGUCUGAGGCUUUUGAGGUGUGCGUGUGCGCGUGUGCGCGUGCUUGCAUUUUUUGACUUUAUGCCUGAUUGACCUGUUUUUAAAUUCCCAGGUCGUUAAUAUUUGAUUUGAGUGCUUCAGAUCGGAAACACAAAAUGUAAUGAGUGAGUGGAUGGUAUCGAUUGUAUAAGAUGGGGGUGCAUGUUGGGUCCAUAAAGAAGUUUGAGUGGACAGUAGUUUCUUCUUGUUUUCACAUGUGAUGUAAAUAUUCUUUCCCUUUGCCUUCUUCACAAUGUUCCACCCUUAGAAUACAAUAAAACUUACACUUAUUAGUUUUGAUAGUUUGUGGUGCUCUGAAGUUCAUUAUAAUAUCAGAAUCCACUUUACACAACAACAAAAAUGCAUCUUUUGACAUCGUUAGCUACUUCCUUUGGUAAUCCCUCCUUCCACUGAACACGACCCCCUGAAAUGAACCCCCCCUCCUGACCAGCAUCUGCGAACCACUCACCUUGCAUUGCUCACAAUAAUCGACCAUCCUCCACUCUGCUCAUGAAGGGUGGUUCUUGAUAAAGUGCUCAGGUAGAUUGUAGGUGUGGAAGUUGUCUGAUUCAUGUGCACAUGCAGCAUGAUCAAGCAUCUCAUUCAAAGCACAAAACUCAAAACUGCCUGAGAAGAGGUGCCCUGGG